UACAGCAACCACACACGGCAUAGUGACUUCUGCUAGCGGGGGCAGCCCAAUGACGUCACCGGCGCGUCGGAGCAGUUCCCGCAGCACGAACACCGGGACAGCGGAAUUCACUCAGAACCAAUCCAGGUGGCAAGUGACGACUCUGGGGAUGAGCCAGAGAGGCAAGCCAGUGAGGUGACAGUGGUGCACACCGAGAAAGAAGCAAACAGUGUGGCAGUGGAGGGAGCCAUUCCUAAAGGUGACAGCGGAGGUGCUAAGAGAAAACCAUGGACCCCAGCGGAAGUCAGAGCCGUUGAAAGACACAUGAUGCGGUUCAUCCACUCCUACAAGGUUCCGGGCAAGAAGGAUUGUGAUGCGUGCCUACGGGCUGAAACCCAAGCACUGAAGGCUCGGAACUGGCUUUCAAUUAAAUUCUACAUAA